GAGCCACGCUUCCUAGGUUGGGUUUCCUGCCCUGUCGGUGCUGAGGAGCCACGCACACCGCACGGCUCCCCGUGGUGCUGAAGAGGGGACGGGGCCGAGGAGCUGCUCCAGUGCACCCAUUGCUGACUUCUCCAGGUGUUAUCGCAGCCAGCCCUUAGCGGACGAACGGUGGGGCAGGAAGCAAGCUAAAGCCUAAUGAGGCCGAUGUUCUUCCCAAGGCAGAGUGAUACUAAUGGAGCUGGAGAAGCUGCCUUGAAAUUACUACAGGCUGACACCUCGUUAGAGUCAGGAAGAUGAAGAACGGCGCAUUUUGGGGAGGAAAGAAGUCCUAUGGGCAGAGCUCGCACAAGACUGAAAGUAGCUGGAGGGCUGGCUUCUGAUUACGGUAUCAAUUUCUCUCCUGUUCACGGCCUAACUGAGUUUGAUGAAUGGCUUUACUCUCCUUGUUUUACUGUCAUUUGGUACCUGGAAACUCAAGCUCGAAGGAAUCGUUCACCGGGUGCUCUGAAAGCACCAGGACACCAUCACCCCGUGCUGUUCCCGAGCAGGAUGUGCAAUAAACCUGGCCAGGGAGAUGGCAAGAGGCAAGGCAGCGUGCGUCAGGACACCGAAACGAGCUGGCUCCCUGAUCUCCUGAAUGCCGGGACGCCGCCUGCCUCUCUGCAGGCACCCAGAUGAACAGACCCAGCUUUUCGAAUUACAGCUCCCAGGGCAUGGGGCAGAGGGAGACGAAACCAAGCUAAGAUCCUUUCCCAUGGCAGAGAGGAGCCCAGACAAAGUGCUGUGCGUGCCAUGCAGAGGGGGAACAGCUUUUUUUAGUCUCUGUCAUGUGGUCCUCUUGCAGGAGUGACUUCCCCCGAGCAUCCUUCUUGGCUCCCUGCUCUGCCAUGCUCCUUGCCCUCUGCUCCCCGCACCCCUGUCUGGUGGCAGACGCAGCCUGGCCAUGCCUCGGAGAAAUCAGCUCCUCUCCAGGACUGCAUGCUCCUUUUGGAGAAGAAGAGGCCUGUGCUUAUUGCUCCCAGAAGAACCGUAAUAGCUAUUUACCCAUGGCAAGAAAAUGUUAUUUUUGGGCAAAAGGGAGCUGUAAUGUUUUCCUGUUACAGUAGUUGGCAGCAUUUCUCUAUAGCCCAAACCUAUCUUCCUUAAUGGGCUCUCUACUCGUUGCCGUAAGUUUACUAGAGGGAGAGAAGCAUACGAACAGUUUUGGAAUUCAACCAAAACAUCAUGGAAGUAAGGGAGCCUUAAACCCUGCGAGCCCAAUAGCGACGGAUGAAGGAACGGCCAAAUAGGAGCCAGAACCAGCAGCCUCAGCUGGGAGGCACUGGUGGCUGAGGGCAGUGACUGAUACAGGCGGUAAGGACGUCGCUCCUCUGGGUCCCUCCAGAUGUUUCAGCUUACUCCAUGUGAGCGAUGGCACGGGGAAAUGGGAACCAAAUGGGCUAGCCGAGACAGCCGCCUUCGGAGGCCGGCUUUGCUGAGCGAGCUGAUCAAAGACACCAAGGUGAAUUUCACGGAAUAAUCAUAGGGAGCAGUAAGAAAGGCACGGAGGAAUGUUUGCAUCCCAUCCCAAGGCAGCUGCCGGCAAACCCCCCAUGGCUUUUGGGGUUUGCGAGGUGCCUCAGGAGCUCAUUUUGGGUUCACAGCCUGUGUUGGGCAGUUGAAGUCGAUGCUGCUGCCAGAAGGACCAGUCUCGCACCCACCACGUCUCCUUGGGCCUGGCAUCUCUCCUGGCAUUGAUGUGGCCACUCAGACAGCCACACCAGCAAGCUGAAGGUCCUGCAGAUUCACCCUACAGAAUUGAGAAUGAGGAGGGAGGAUUGCAGCCGGCUGGGGGAGCUGCCUCCUGGCAGGAGCCCAGGGUAGGUCAGCUUAGGCCAGUUGGGAAACUGCAGAUUCACCCAGCUUCGCUCUCAGGAAGCAGCCCGAGAGCUUCCCAGGGGCCCGUGGCCCGGUGUGGGUGCAGUAACCAGCAGCAUCUUCGCUCCUAGAACGAAAGAGGGCAGCCACACCGGGCCUUGCACCAUUUCGAGCCAGGGAGGACGCAAAUUAACCUUUAUGGCUUGCCUUUAAAAUAAUGGCACGAGGGUUUGGAUAGCGUUUCGGUAGUGCUGCAGCAGUAAUGAUGUCAGGCUAUAAGCAAGGCAGAAUUUAUAGGAAGAGAUAAGGCCUUUUAAUAGAGCAGCUGGCCGAGCUGCAGCAAGCAGACACACCAGCCCUCCUUCAGGAGCCUGUUUCAGAUGGGUAGAGCUCGUGUGUGUCUGGGGAAGCAUGCUUUCCCUUUGAGACGGGCUGGUUUAAUAAACCCCUUUUCUACCAGCCUCGCUCCACUCCUGGUUCAAGUGGGCUCUUCAGGCCAAAGCUGAAUACAAGCUCAUUGAAGCGGGUGUCCCUGAUCCUGGAAAUUGAGUUCUCACCCCUGAACCAUUAACUUGUAGGUCCACGUUUGUAAAUACACAGCAGAGGCAGGACAUGCUGAAGCCAGAUAUGCAAUGAAUUAAGUCUUUUCUCAUCUCCCCCCAUGCCAGGCAUGGCCACACACCACCUAGUGAGGUGACACAGAGCGCUGGGUUACGUAUCCUGCACAUGGAGCUUGCAUUUAUCCUACAAGCCCUGCAAGGACACCUCCUGGAGAAGCAGGCAAGUUAUUUCCAAAGUCAAACAAGUUAUUUGUUUUAAGGCAGCUCUCCGAAGGACAGGGCCUGUCCAAGCCAUUGCUGCUCAGUAAACUGAGGCACGUGCUGACCACCACCACAAUGGGAUAGACACGUGGAAAAGAAACCAGAUUUUCAGAAAAAAAAUCACUUAGCACAAGAGCAGUAACCUGGACGGGGCCCAUAAGGUAGCUCCUGCCUACGGUGCUUUCUGGCUACGGUGGCUGCUGUUGUAGAAGUCACUUUAUCGCCGUGUAACCGAAGGGAAAUGCAAACUUUGCCACUGAAAGCUGAAUUCCUUCCUCUGGCCAGGCUGCAGCCGCCGAGGAGCUGAGGAAUCCCCUGGCUUCUUCCUGCUCCGUGCUUCCUCGCCGUAGCUGCAGCCGGCGUUACAGGAAGCAAUGCAGAACACACACCCUCCUUUUGUGCUUUAUGAACCCUGCACUGGCAGCAAACACUUGUCCUUUGUCAGCGAGGAAAGCAGCUAGCAGGAGACACAGAAGAUUUAUAGGUGCAACAUCCCAGCGCCGCGCGCUCACAUCUACCCUCCCUCCAAUCCCAGCUCCUUUACAAGGAACCUUGCUGCUAAACCCCAAUGCCACGCCGAGGAUAUUUACCCCACAGGGAGCUGAUCAUCUGGGAGGUAACAAGGUGCCAUUUCCUCCUGGAUGUGGUGGCUGACGGCAACCACAUGCUAGUGCUGCAAUUUAGGGCCGCGCUGGAUGCCAGGCGUCUACGCAGCGCUUACCGGCGCGGUGAGGCCGUGCUGCCACGUGAGCUGGGGAGGCUCAGUUUGCUGUCAGGCUGAGAGUUUUCAAAUAAAAUAAAAUAAAUAAAUUAAUAAAUAAAUAAAUAAAGAUAAAGGAAAAAAAAUUAAGAUACCAAAAAUGGAA